CACAGGGAGGGGGAGGGGUGGGCAGUCAGGAAGCCUCUCCUGGCCUCGGCUUGGUCUGCCGCCGCCCCCUCCUCCUGCUGAAGCAGAGUCGUCUCAGACUACCACUCAGAUCCAGGUGUCCGGCUUGGAGGCCAGGGGCGUUCCUAACUGACCGGUCAUGACCAGUCAACACGAAUGACUGGGCCCAUGUGAUGAGCUCAAGUGACCGCAGGAUUGCCUGCAGUCCCUCUGGCCUCGGUGAGUAAGCAAGUGGCCGACAUGACCCCUCGUCAGGGUGCUGUGGUGCUGGAAGCGCUGUGCCCAGCUGAGGGACCGUGACGCUGUGGCCGCCUGACUUGCCAUCCUGAAAGGAGUGCUCAGAUCUCCAGCCCUUCACGUAAGACUGGGUGUAGACUGUGCCCGCUCAGUAUAACUGGAGAGCGUGAAGCUGGUUUCCAAAGAGGACGGAACCGUCACUCACCCACAAGAAGGGCUGGAGUGGAAGUUCCAGAAUAUGGAGCCUGCAUUAGCUUGGGUGAUGAGAUGAGACUAACAAAGAGGAGAAACCAGCACACAACCAUAAUGGACAAGUAGCAGAGCCUUGACCUUUUAAGUUUAAAAAAAAUCAUUUUGGAAAAAAGUAAAUAUAAUUUCUUCAGUCAAAAAAAAAAAAAUCCUAUCAUGAUUUAGCAUGAAAUCACUAGCAACAUUCCUAUGGAACAGUAGGGGUGAAAGCCUGAUUAAAAGUUUAAGAGGAAAUGAAAAGCAAUCAUUACAUAGGGACAGAAACCAUAUAAAACAUUUUUGAGUUUUGUACAAAAGGAAGUGAAGAAAUAAAGUGGUGAUAACCAGCAGGGAAAACAAAGCUAAGAUAUUUUUUAUUAUUUUUUUUCUUGCCGGUGUGGUAUGGUUUCAGUUUGUGUUAUUCAGAUUGCAGGUGAUGUAAGUUUUUUGUU